UUUCCGUAGGUGAACCUGCGGAAGGAUCAUUAUUGAAACUUCAUCCGGGGCGCCGCGGCCCUCAGCACCGGUGGAAACGCCGUGCUGCGGGGGCCGCGCGUGCACUCGUCCAAACCAAACCCCUGUGAACCUUACGGGAUGGCCCGGGUCAGCGCCCGGUGCCGUUCCGCUUUAUACAAACACUUAUCAAAGAAUGAACUGAAGGCGGUCUGACCGCUGGAUAACAAACUGAAACAACUUUCAACAACGGAUCUCUUGGCUCUC
rnacentral:misc_RNA from 1 species